rnacentral:rRNA from 1 species
UACGUAGGAGACGAGCGUUGUCCGGAGUUACUGGGCGUAAAGGGUGCGCAGGCGGCCGCGCGCGUGGCUAGUGAAAUCUCCUGGCUCAACUGGGAGGGUGGUGGCCAGACGGCGCGGCUUGAGGCUCGUAGAGGGGCGUGGAACUCCGGGUGGAGCGGUGAAAUGCGUAGAGAUCCGGAAGAACACCAGUGGCGAAGGCGGCUCACUGGACCGGUAUUGACGCUGAGGUGCGAAAGCGUGGGGAGCAAACAGG